CACUCCUACGGGAGGCAGCAGUGGGGAAUAUUGCACAAUGGGCGCAAGCCUGAUGCAGCCAUGCCGCGUGUAUGAAGAAGGCCUUCGGGUUGUAAAGUACUUUCAGCGGGGAGGAAGGCGAUAAGGUUAAUAACCUUGUCGAUUGACGUUACCCGCAGAAGAAGCACCGGCUAACUCCGUGCCAGCAGCCGCGGUAAUACGGAGGGUGCAAGCGUUAAUCGGAAUUACUGGGCGUAAAGCGCACGCAGGCGGUCUGUCAAGUCGGAUGUGAAAUCCCCGGGCUCAACCUGGGAACUGCAUUCGAAACUGGCAGGCUAGAGUCUUGUAGAGGGGGGUAGAAUUCCAGGUGUAGCGGUGAAAUGCGUAGAGAUCUGGAGGAAUACCGGUGGCGAAGGCGGCCCCCUGGACAAAGACUGACGCUCAGGUGCGAAAGCGUGGGGAGCAAACAGGAUUAGAUACCCCGGUAGUCCCAUGA
rnacentral:rRNA from 1 species